rnacentral:tRNA from 1 species
CAAAAAGUAGCUUAAUAAAAGCAUUCACCCUACAAUUGAAAAACGUUGGAAUCAACCUUUUUGA